rnacentral:rRNA from 1 species
UCGCACCUACCGAUUGAAUGGUCCGGUGAAGCCUCGGGAUUGUGGCUAGUUCACUUUAUUGGGAGUUCGUCGUGAGAACUUGUCUAAACCUUAUCAUUUAGAGGAAGGUG